rnacentral:rRNA from 1 species
AUUGAACGCUGGCGGCAGGCCUAACACAUGCAAGUCGAACGGUAACAGGAAGAAGCUUGCUUCUUUGCUGACGAGUGGCGGACGGGUGAGUAAUGUCUGGGAAACUGCCUGAUGGAGGGGGAUAACUACUGGAAACGGUAGCUAAUACCGCAUAACGUCGCAAGACCAAAGAGGGGGACCUUCGGGCCUCUUGCCAUCGGAUGUGCCCAGAUGGGAUUAGCUAGUAGGUGGGGUAACGGCUCACCUAGGCGACGAUCCCUAGCUGGUUUGAGAGGAUGACCAGCCACACUGGAACUGAGACACGGUCCAGACUCCUACGGGAGGCAGCAGUGGGGAAUAUUGCACAAUGGGCGCAAGCCUGAUGCAGCCAUGCCGCGUGUAUGAAGAAGGCCUUCGGGUUGUAAAGUACUUUCAGCGGGGAGGAAGGGAGUAAAGUUAAUACCUUUACUCAUUGACGUUACCCGCAGAAGAAGCACCGGCUAACUCCGUG